GCCCCGAUGGCGGAAUAGGUAGACGCUACGGACUUAAAAUCCGUUGCCAGCAAUGGCGUGCCGGUUCGACUCCGGCUCGGGGCACCA
rnacentral:tRNA from 1 species